rnacentral:sRNA from 1 species
UGAUAUGUCUAUAAUUUGCAUGAUUUAGGCAUUCAUUCUUCACCACUUUGUCAAUGUUUCAUCCACAAAUCAUCUCAUUAGGAGUCGUUUUAGUGUGUUUUACAUACUUAGGACGAUUUUGCAUUAGGAUUGCAUGUGAAUGGCAUCUUUGGUUGUUUUCAGGUACUUUGGAUGCUUUUGGAGUUCAAACAGAGGAAAAACAGAACAUAAAGUCGGAAUGCCCAAUGACGCUUCGGCAAAAGUACUCUAUCGCAGCCUCGGAGCCCUGCUAGGGCAAAUCACUCUAUCGCAACCCCGGAGAAUCAAGCAGCUCAGUUUCACUCAAUCGCGAAGCCGGAGGAAUCACCCCAUCAGAACCACUCGAUCACCACUCGACCACCAAGAAGCCUAUCUGCUCGUUCUGCACUCAACCAGACAAGCUGAGAACAAAGAAGAGAAGAGAAGCCGAAGAAACCACUCGAUCACCACCUCAUGACAUCCACUCGAUCGCACUCGAUCACAGGGUCGCUGGACCAUUCAAUCUCGACUUCACUACAUCUCACUAGA